UGGUAUGCAUUUUAUGGAUUGUGUUAUGUAAUUGGUUGCACAUCAAUGGUUGAUCGGUUGCACGCCUAAAGCAUACAACAAGCACAAGUUGAGUUGAGCAAUUGGUUGAGGUUAGAUCAAGGUGUUGAUCGUGAUGAGAUUGAGGAUGUACGGAUCGAUUCAAAAAAUUGAAGAUAAUCAAAUCAAUUGAUGUGCUUGUAUUUGUAUCUUGGACCCAUAAAACCGAUUCGACUCAGUGGCUCGAGUUUGAAUCCCUU
rnacentral:lncRNA from 1 species